AUUGAACGCUGGCGGCAGGCCUAACACAUGCAAGUCGAACGGUAACAGGAAGAAGCUUGCUUCUUUGCUGACGAGUGGCGGACGGGUGAGUAAUGUCUGGGAAACUGCCUGAUGGAGGGGGAUAACUACUGGAAACGGUAGCUAAUACCGCAUAACGUCGCAAGACCAAAGAGGGGGACCUUCGGGCCUCUUGCCAUCGGAUGUGCCCAGAUGGGAUUAGCUAGUAGGUGGGGUAACGGCUCACCUAGGCGACGAUCCCUAGCUGGUCUGAGAGGAUGACCAGCACAAGUGGAAUUGAGCGCCGGUCCAGGCCCCCACGGGAGGAAGCAGGGGGGAUUUUUCCACAAAGGGAGAAAGCCUGAUGCAGCCACGCCGGGGGUAGAAAGAAGGCCUUCGGUUUGUAAAUUAUUUUAGGCGGGGAGAAAGGGAUUAAAGUUAAUACCUUUGCCAAUUGCAGUUACCCGAAAAAAAAGCCCCGGCUACCCCCGU
rnacentral:rRNA from 1 species